CCUACGGGAGGCAGCAGUGAGGAAUAUUGGUCAAUGGGCGAGAGCCUGAACCAGCCAAGUCGCGUGAGGGAGUACUGCCCUAUGGGUUGUAAACCUCUUUUGUCGGGGAGCAAAAGCCGGACGUGUUCGGCUGUGAGAGUACCCGGAGAAAAAGCAUCGGCUAACUCCGUGCCAGCAGCCGCGGUCAUACGGAGGAUGCGAGCCGUAACCGGAUUUAGUGGGUUAAAAGGGUGCGCAGGCGGGGUUGUAAGUCAGCGGUUAAAGCGUGGGGCUCAACCCCAUCCAGCCGUUGAAACUGGGGAUCUAGAGUGUGCGAGAGGUAUGCGGAAUGCGUGGUGUAGCGGUGAAAUGCAUAGAUAUCGCGCAGAACCCCGAUUGCGAAGGCAGCAUACCGGUGCACAACUGACGCUCAGGCACGAAAGCGUGGGUAUCGAACAGGAUUAGAUACCCGGGUAGUC
rnacentral:rRNA from 1 species